UCAGGGCAUGGAAAAGGACUGAACAAAGAGAAAAUUAGAAGUAAGUAAAAGGGAAAAAUGAAUCUAGUUGCGUUCAAGGUAAUUUUCUUUAUUUUGUGGUUUGGUUUGAACUGCUCUGUGUGAAUCUAUGCCUCCCCUCCCCAUUUACUACCUUGCAUUGUGCCCAGAGACUUUUCUCUGUGUUUUAUUUUUUUCCUUAGUGCUCUAUAACAACUAGCAACCAAGUGUGCUUUAUCAAGUUUAUCCUUUGUUUUGUAAUAAAAUCACUUUUUUAAAGGUGAUGAUUUGAUUCUUGUGUCCUGGAAGGUCUGUCUGUGUGCAUCUGCAUGCCUCUGACUGAGGGUCAGCUACCAGAGACUGCAGCUUGUUUUUCUUUUUCCAAGCUCUUUUGGGGUAAAAGAGCUCAUGGUACCCUGGGGGGUGAUUUCAAGUGUUCACCCCUGGUUUUUAAAGGGGGAAAAAAAGCACUUGAUGGUAGCAGAGUUUCCCCAAAAUCUGUGGAUUAUGAUUCUGGGGGGAAAUUUUUGUAACCGGUGCCUGUAGAGGCAUGGUGUUGAAGCUCUCUUGCAGGCCCUCACCUUCUGCAUUCAGAGUGCCAAAGUGGGAAAAGCUUUGGCAGAUGGCCACAAAGAAAGUGACUUUUACUGAGAGAAGUGAAAGUGAACAAGUCACCAUUGGUUCAAAGUGAUGAUCAGUCAAGUUGGUAAAGAGAAGAUUCAGAACCCAGAAUUCAGAACCCAGAACUGUUGAAUGCUUUGCAAAACUUUUUUGUAGUCAGGUGAAUAAAAUGUGUGUGCCCAUCUAUUUGAGAACGCUCAAUUGAGAUAGCCACCAAGUGAAUUUUCACUGAUGAGUUUGAGAGGCUCUUCUUCAAGAAAAGAAGGUAAUCUAGCACUUUCAGGAGCGGUGCUAAGCAAGGUGAUAGUGUAUUGUGAGUGUCCCAAAUAAUAAAACAUUGUCAUUUUUGAGGGCAUGUUUUCCUGGUGCUCACUUUGUGACUGUUCAUGAUUAAGUGACGGACCUUUAAGAGUUGGAUGUGAUCUCCCUUGAAGGAGCCAGGCUUUGAGAUGUAACCUCUGAAAUGUCUGGGUGGAGAAUUCAGCCCUUGUCCUCUGAUAGGAGAUUUGGGAGUUGUGCAAGAUGAACCAGGGGGCGGGGGAUUGCGGGGAGAUGGAAGUGGGAGAGACAUCUGCAAUAGGUAAGGAAACCAGGCUUGUCCGGGCCAUUCUGGUGCUACCAAUAUGACUUGGGCCUUGUACGGUUUUAUUUUUGGGUGACCUGGUUGAGUAGUUGUAGGGGCGGAAACGUUUGUCCGCCCAAUUGAACAACAGGGCGUCGGCCAGAGAGUUCUUGCCCAGACCUGCUCUGGAGCAGUACUUGGGGCAUUUUGCAUUGCGAAAGUGGUGAACAAGUCUAUGUCUAGAAAGCCCCACUUCUGGGCUAUGGUAUGCAAGACUUGUGGAUGGAUCUUCCACUCAUAUUUCUGAUGAAAGUUUCUGUUGAGAUGGUCUGCCAUCAUAUUUUGUUUUCCUAGGAGAUAAGACUGCUGAGAUGUUCAUGUGAUGCUCAAUGUAUCAAUACCACAAGGCCGUGGCUUCCUUGAAAAAAUGCAAAAUAUCUGGGGACUGAGCUAUCCAUUUAAACAAGUCCUGAAACUACUUCAGGUUGUCUGCAGGUGGAGAGGAUGAUGAAGGAAAGGCAGCCUCAUCUGAACAAGAGGAACACUGUGCCACCGAAGAGGAACUGUCCGAAUCAGAGUAAGGCAGAAAGGAAAGCACUCCUGCGACUCCAUCUUCUGCUGAGGAUGGCAGAAAAGGAACUGAGGGGGACCCGCACUGCGUGCACAGCUAACGGGCAGAAACAGUGCAAGACGGCAGCUGCGUUUGUGCAAUAUGGGAAGGCACUAUUAGAUAAAAAUCUCUGAUCGCUAGUGCCAGGACACCGCAAAAUCUGAGUGGAGUACCCACAGGGACACCACUGGAAGGAGAAAUGACCAACAGAGUCAACAACCAAUGUUGAGGAGGCCUUGUUGGUACUAUUAUUAUAAAGUUAGCACAGUCUUGCUCAACUUUGGACAAGACCUUGGCAGGGACAGAAUUGGAAAUAUUUGUCGUUCCUUUUUAACCAUGACCCACCUAGGAACAAAAAAAUAUUGUUUUCAUCUGGUUACAAACACGUCUACUUGGAAAGUUCCCCACUGUUACUAAAAGACCUUGGAGACAUCUGGACAAACAGAUCACUUGCUGUGACCUGCAAACAAUUUGGUCAGAUGGUCUGCCAGAAUGUUUUGGAUCUCUGGAAGUGUCCUGUAGGUGAAUGUACAGCAGUAGCUCGCGAAUGGAGGAGGGUUCGGAGCUAGCGUGCCGUAGCUGAGGAUAACACUGCUGUCGCCACCGUGGAAUCAGGUAUUAACAGGUUCGGGAUGGCGUAAUGCGUGGCGAAGGUUAGGUCGGAAGACCACGUAGCAGCUAUGCAGAUAUCUAUCAAGGGGACUCCCUUGAGGAAUGCAGGGGACGUAGCGACUGCCCGAGUCGAGUGGGCCCUCAGGGUUGAGGGCAGUGGUUUCUUACGUAGUUCAUAACAGGACCUUAUGCACUGUACGAUAGUAGAGGAGAUGCGUUGAGCGGACAAUGGGCGACCUUUAGAACGGUCCGUCAUUGAUAUUAAUAACGAGUCCGUCACUCGAAAGGGUCUGGUCCUCUCGAUAUAAAAGGUGAGGGCCCGUCUGACGUCUAAAGUGUGCAAGCGUGCGUGUUCUGGUGACGCAUGUGGUUUGGGAUGGAAUAUAGGGAGGAUUAUAGGCUCGUUGAUGUGAAAUCGAGAGAUCACUUUGGGGCGAAAACGUGGUUGCGUUCGGAGUAUUACUGCUUGGUGCGUAAAAAUUGUAUAAGGAGGGGAAGCUGAUAGUGCAGCUAGCUCACUCACUCUCCUCGCGGAAGUAAUAGCCAAUAAGAAAAUAACCUUCAUGGACAGGUCAUAUAAAGUGCAGGUCGCUAGCGGUUCGAAGGUCUGGCUGUUAGGGAAUUGAGAACUAUUUCAAGGUCCCAAGGAUCCGCUGGUUGAGUAUAGUGCGGGUACAGGUUGGACAUUCCCUUCAAGAACCUUUUAGUUGUUGGAUGGGAAAAUACUGAACAUCCGUUGACCGGCUGGUGAAAGGCUGCAAUUGCAGCGACAUGAACUCUGAUGGAAGCGCAGGUGAGGCCUGAAUUCUUGAGGUGUACCAGGUAGUCUAGGAUACACCGCAGAGAUGAGGAGACCGGGUUCAGAUCCUUCUGGGAACACCACGAUGAGAAGCGUGACCAUUUGGAAAGGUAAGCAGUCCAUGUAGAUAGUUUUCCGUAGAUAAUUUUCUACUGUUUAGUAAAAUGUGUUUGACAGAUUGUGAGCAUAACACUUCUGACUGUUGGAACCAACUAGGUACCAAGCCGUGAGCACGAGAUGGUUCACCUGCGGAUGGAGAAGGGAGCGAUGAUUCUGGGAUAGGAGAUCGUGUCGAGCUGGCAGAGGAAACGGAGGAUGCAUCGACAUGCGAUGUAGGUAUGGAUACCAUGUUUGCCUGGGCCAGACUGAGGCUAUUAGGAUUACUGUGGCCUUUUCUCGAAUAAUUUUCUCCACUACCCUGGAAUUAGGGGUGUGGGUGGGAAUGCAUAAAGUAGGUGACGUCCCCCGUUGUAUAGGAAAGCGUCGCCUUUCGAAUUUCGUCCAAUCCCCGCUCUCGAGCAAUACCGAGGACAUUUCGCAUUGUGAGAAGUGGCAAAGAGGUCCACUAGCGGGAAACCCCAUAGUUGAAAUAUUAUCGAAAGCACUGCAGGAUGUAGCUCCCACUCGUGAUUGAGAGAAAAGUGCCUGCUAAGGGCGUCUGCCGUUACAUUGUGCUGGCCCGGGAGGUAUUCUGCGAUUAGAAAGACGUUGUGUUGAUUGCACAUGUUCCAUAGACGUACCGCUUCCGCGCACAAGAAGUGGGACCUGGCGCCUCCUUGCUUGUUUAUAUAAUA